GCCAGAAUUGAUGCAGAGUUCUGUUCCAGUUUUGUGUGGUUUCUGGCGAACUGGGCCAUUUGCUCUGAGCUGCCCCAUGACAGGAGGGGCAAUCCGCAGCCCUCACCAUUUCCUGCCCCAUCCCAACCCACACAGGGCCUCUUCUAUGGGCUGCAUUCUGUAAUUGGCAGUUAUAUGGAUUUACAGAUACAGUUGAAGGUGUUUUUAGACAGCUGUACAGAAGACAUAGACAUUCCAGCCUUACCCCAAGAACAUGACCGACCCAGAAGAGCCUUUGAAUGUGCUGAGGACAUGUGCUGAAGUCUCAAAGAAGCAAGGGUGGAAUGGCUGUCCAAGAGCCUCUCAGGCCCUGAAUGUCUUCAGAAGUCCCCAGGAGCCUCAGCAGAAGAUCCUAUCUUCCCUUCCACUGUGAAGAAGAUGCCCGGAACAUGCCAGGUGGCCCAAAUGAAGCCCUGGUUGGGGUGCUGGGGCUGGGAAGAGCACAGGUGCACAGAGGCAAGCAGUGAAAAAGCAAAGGUUGCCUGUGAUCACAGGGAGAAGCCCCUUAAAAAAAUCUAACAUUGGCUGCAGGCUGACUUGAGCCCAGCAAGGAUUCCUCCUGCACUGCAAAAACGAGGCCAGCGUUCAGCCAGCCCGGAGUGUCCCUCUGCAGGAUGGACUAAAUGCAGAGCUAAUCAGGUUGAGUUUCCAGGCACAGGCCUGUGACGCAGACAGGACCUGAUGUAUCCCCUGCUCACAGGUCCCCAAAGGCAGGGCUGAUUUCCGUCUGUGUAUGGAAGAACAGUUACAAAGCUCUGCCUCCUACUAGCUUUGCAACUUUGGGCAACUAACCUAACCUCGUUGUGCCUCAGUCUCCUCCUCUGUAAAUGGAAGUAAUAAUAUUGCAUACGGCAUUGUGGUGGGAUGAAGAUUAAAUGAGUUAAUGCAUACAAAACACUUAGAAUGUUGCCUGGCACCUGGUUAAUGUUAACUAUUGUGAUUAUUGUCAUCACCACCACCCCAGCUUCGGCAACACCAUCACCCGCCACCAUCCUAGCAACAGCAUCAUUACUUAUCAUCACCACCACUCUCUUCCUCAGCACCCUCACACAGCAGCAGGAGAUGGUGAGCACUCACCGGGUGUUUGCUGAAUCUGACUCCUCUCUGUAACAUCUGAGUGUGUAAGUGGCAGUCAUACAGAACUUCAGAUGUGCUGAGUAUCAGCACAAAGGGCUGCCUAUGAUGAGAUUGCUGGUAAAGAGCUAGAAUCUCAGUUUGCCCUGAGACUAGACUGUAUCAUACUGCUUUUUCCCUCUUUUUUUUGGUAGAGACACUUUCUUGAUAUGUUGCCCAGGCUGGUCUCGAACUUCUGGGCUCAAGGGAUCCUCCUGCCUCAGCCCCCACUCAAAGUGCUGGGAUUAUAGGUGUGAGCCACUGUGCACGGCCCCCGUACUUCUUGCUGUGUCCUUCAGAAGAAAUACCCGUCCUGCUCCCUGACUCAAUUUGUGGCCCUAAUAAAACAGCAAGCUGCUAGGACUACUACAACACACAAAAUGUGGCCCUGAGUAUACACCCAUAUCAUUAUAUGCCCUCAGACACCGACAAUCCAUGAGGCUAAACUUCCCCAUGCCUAGGCCUCCAGAGACCAGAACAUGCUGUAGGCCUUUCGGUACAACAGCUGCAGCGUGCCACAAGAUGGGCAAUUCUGCACCCCAGACUCAGGCAGACCUGAGUACAAAUUUUGACUUAGGCCUUUCCAGCUGUGUGGCUUUGGGUAAAUGCCCAUCUCUGAGUGUCUGUUCACUCCUGUAUCAAAGGGAGACAAAUGGUAACACUCACCUCUCGGGGAGUCCUGAGGAUGAAAAAAGAUCGUCCGUGUGAAAACAGACUAUGUAAGUUAUGGCUAUGUAACUUAUAGGACCAAAUGCAAAAUGAAAUCAUGGGGCCCAUUCGAAAGUUAUAAAAGAGUUUUGAGAAGGUGACAGUAGAGUAUGAGACAGUAUGAAAGCAAGCAUAGGCCCUUCUGAGCACAGGGCCUGUGUGAGUGCACAGGCUGCCUGCUUAUGAAGCUGCUCUGGAUCAGUCAGGUACCAAGCACAGUGCCUGACACAGAGGAGGUGCCCAAGAAAUGUUCAUUCUUUUCUUUCCUUCAAUGGAGCCAAACAACAAUUCUGACAGUUUAGUAACACUAGAUGCUCCCCUCUGUCAGGAGCAGCACACUUUCACUCGGAGCUUUGCUGGUAACCUAGCUGCCUCCUGAAGGGUCCAGCAGAACUGAGCUGCCCAGUUACUGGGGGUUUGCUUCCCUCCAUGAUGCCCAAAUUGUGACACCAAGAUAAGGACAGGACCUCUGGGUUAACAGAGCUCCUCCUCACCUCCAUCUCUGGUUCAUCCAGAUGAUGUAGUUUUCCCAGCAGGACUAGCCCUUCAAUUCCUGCCUGACUUGGGUUAUGAACUGGCAACCCUGGUUUGACACCCCUUCCAAGUAGUUAUUUUUUAAUUGUGACAUAGCUACCAACAUUUAAUAAGCAAAGGAAUUCAGAUAAAAAUCAGCAAUGGUAGCUUCCACUAGAAAUGUUCAAGGUUGGCAACAAAAGCCUGAAUUCCCACGUGGCACACAUCAGUUGGAACCAAGCGGCACACUCCCUUCAGACAGGGUGCGUCUCACUGGUUUGCCACAGUCGUCACUACUCCCUAAUGUCACACCAGACCAGCUUUCCUCACUCCCAACUCCCACUGCAAGCUCACUCUGGCCAGCCUGGUUUCAGUUUGCAAGAUGGCACUCUGACCCAAUGAGUCUGCAGAACAACACUAACUCGGGUCUUUUGAAAAGGCCUCAAAAACGAAAGUAAAAAUCAUGGUUUAAUAAACUCACCAUGAUCCUGAUACCAAUAACCUGGCUCAAGAGAAGAGGCUCUUUCUGUACAAAGCAGCUUUCUCCAAUUCUGUUUAUUUUUGAAGAGAUUUUAUUUUUAGGCCAAUUAGAAACUAACCAUGCUGUUGCUCUGCCCAUAUAACAUAGUCCAUUCUCCUCAGCACAUUUGGAUCUGUGUGUAGAAAAGAUGACAAUGAGGAAAGGAGUAUCAACUGAUACCCAGUACUCCCCCAGUGGAUGUAAUGUGCAGGUGAACAGCUACUCAGAGGGUGAUGUGAGGCCAGUUAGAGCCCAGACUCAAAGAAUGAGCCUGCUCCUGAAAUGUCUUCCCCAUGAAACUUGGAGCAAAAUGCUAACGAACCCUCUCUGAGCGUAUGCAGGAGGAAGGUAAGGUUAACAACCUCCCCACAGCCGUUCUUUCUCUCCGUACAGCCUUUCUUUCUCUCCGUCUUUAUUUCAGCACCCAGCAGAAUCUGAGUAAAGUGCCUCCAUUCUGCUUUUUAAAAAAAAAUUAAAAAAAAAAAAGAAAAGAAAAACAGUUUUCAGUGGCAUAUGUCAUCACUGAAUUAAUGCUGUUUGCCUUUUACUGGCUUGGCUCUCAUCCCAGUAGAAGCAAAUAAAAACGGAGUACAAUGUACUAUAAAUGCUACCGGCAGCAAUACAUCAGAUGGACCCAUCUGAAAUGCCUCCUACCCUCCAGGAAGGGCUCAACUUCUGCUACAGGACAAGAACCGCUCUGGUGUCAAGACUAAAACUAGCUUGGAUCCAAGAGGCCUCUAUCAGGAGUAGGGAAGAGCAAGAUUCUUUAAUUUGCAAGGAAGAUAAAGAGAAGGACGAUAUGCAUACUUAUAAAUUUAUAGCCUGUUUCCAUCGUGGGGAAUUUCAACAUAUUUGUUCUGAGCCAUACCACUCAUUAAAAACCUCCCACAUCUGUGAAUUAAGGUGGCUGCUUUAAAAAAAAAUAGUGGAAAAACACAUAACACAAAAUUUACCAUCUUAACCAUUUCUAAGUGUCCCAUUCAGUGAUGUUUAGUUAUUCACAUUGUUGUGCAACUGAUGCGCAACUGAUCUCCAGAACUUUUUCAUCUU
rnacentral:lncRNA from 1 species